ACAAGGUUCACCGGCGGGACCAGCAAAGCCUCUGCGUGCCUUGGAGCUGUCUCUUUCCCCUUGUAGAAAAGAUACACGCCACACCAGCCAGACUCCAUUUAUUGAUCUAUUUGACACUUAUUGAGGUGCCUGCCAGGCACUGUUUUAGGCACUGAAUACACAGCAUUGAAUAAAGUAGAGAAGCCUUGCCUCCAAGGAGCUGAUAUCCUUACUCGUAGAUCAUGCAUAAACAGAGCCCACUGAAGCCAGACAUGGUGGCACAUGCCUGUAAGUCCAGCCCUUGGGAGGUGGAGGCAGGAGGAUCCGGAGUCCAUGGUCAUCCUCGGCUGUGUAUCAAGUUUAAAGCCAGCUUCGGUACACGAAACCCUCCCCAACACUGCCCCCUCUCAGAAAAGUGCUGAGAAGAGGGCUGCAGGUCCCAUGGGACUGGAGUUACAGCUAGUCGUAAGCCGACAUGUAUGUUCUGUUUUGACGGCUGGCUCGUCUGAGACAGUGACAGCUGUGUAACCUGAGCUAGCCUCAGACACCUGACGUUCCCGCCUCAGUCUCCCAAGUGGUGAGAUGGCAGGCUUGCUGGAGAAUCACACUCUUCCUUCUGAGCUCUGGAAAUCACAUGGAAGCUACCGUAUCCACCCAGCAUGUAUGUGGAUUCUGGGGAUCAAAACCGGUGCAUGCUUGCUGUUCCCCAACAUGCAUUAUAACCAUUACAGUAUCUCUCCAGUCACCACACUCAGCUUAAAAAAAAAAUGUAUGUGUGUGUAUCAUCUGUGUUGGUGCCCUAGGAAGCCAAAAAGAGGAUGCUGCAUCCCCUGGAGCUGGAAUUCCAGGCCACUAUGGAUGACUUGACAUGGGUGUGGGGUUGGGGGUAGGGAGAUAUUGAACUCUGGUCCUUCACAAGAGCAAUAAGGGCUCUAAACCACUGUGAAAGUGUUUGAACCGCUAAGCCAUCUCUGCAGCCCUAUACCCAGCUGUUUUAUGUGAGUGCUGGGGAUCCAAACUCAGGUCUUCAUGCUUGGGCAGCAAGUGCUCUUUCUUAUGCCCUGAGGAAUCAUCCCGCCAGCUGAUUUUCUGUUGGAGUUGCUCUCCUGGUGUCUUGACUUACAACUGUUCUUUUGACCUUGUAGAUACUUUCUGGAAUUUUAACAUUACAAACACCUUUCCCCUCCAGCCAGCUAAUAUUGGUCCCGUGGUGCCUCGUGGAAAGAAAUCUACGCUGAUGCUAUCAGAUGCGUGUUUCCCCGUUGUGGGUUUCUGCUCUUUGACUCAGAGGCUCUUCCUUUGUGGUCACGAGCAUUCUUAGGGGUGGGAAUGGUCAUCCAGAGGGCCUUGAAGGCUGAGUGUUUAUGCACAAGGGCCAAGGCCCUCUCCCACCUCCUUCUUUGGGGUCUUUUCUGCACCCCUGGGCCUUGGAGAUACUCUCACACUGGAGGCUAAGCUGGUGCUGGGGGAAAGCGGCGGGGCUCUGUAUUGUUGAAGGACUGCACUGCUGGAGACAGGGGAAGGCAAAGAGCUGUGAAGAGAGGGAGCACCAAACCAGGGCGCUUCAUUUGAAGAGAGAACUAAAGUAGGCCUUCUUGGCUAUGUAAAAAGAUGCCCAAUGGUGAACGCUUUCAAUGAAAAAGAAAGGAUCAAACAUACUCUCCUGAAAGUGCUGUUCCAUUGAACCCACUUAAAGUACUAGGUUUGGCAGAAUCAUUCUACUAUGGCCCAUUUAUUCUACUCCUGGAAACUGCCCUACAGAAUUGCAGGCUUUGUGUUCCCCAAGAGCGGAAUGCUUGAGUAGUGCCAUCAGGGCUCAGUGGGAGUGCACCCACUGGAAUGUGCAGGCUCUAGGUUCCAUUGUGGUGUGGUAAGAACAAAUGCAUUUGGAGGAGUGGGAGCACACACCUGGAACCCCAGCACUUGGAAGGUGGGGGCUGGAGGAUCAGGCAUUCAAGGCCAUCCUUCUUUUACAUUGCAAGUUCAAGGACAGCCUAAGCUACACGAGCCUGUCUCAGAACACAAAACAGCCCUCUUCUGGCAAUACAUAUCAGUGUUUUGCCUGCAUAUAUGUGCGUCUAUUAUGUGCAUGCUUGGUUCCUCAGAGGCCAGUAGAGAUCCCCUGGAACUAAAGUUACAGUUUCGGGCCAUCAUGUGUGUGCUGGGAAUUGCACUUGGGCGCUCUGGAGGACCACUGUGCCAUCCUUCGAGCCCUGAAAUGUACUGGUUUUAAUAGAGCCAUAAAGCAACUCAGCUGUCCAUUGUAAGAAAAUUGAUGAAUCAAUCAUGCACUAGCACACAAUGAAAGGCAACACAGUAACAAAAAGCGGGGACGUGUAUCCAAAUAGAAUAACAUGGUAACACUAACAAAAGCAGAAAGAUGAAUGGAAGAAACCUGACACAGUCCGUGAGGGCACGCACAAACAGCGCUUUUUAAGAUGUGUUUUUAUUAUUUUUUAAUUAAGUGCAGGCAUUUGUGUCUGUACGUGAGUGUGUGCCAAUAUCUUUAGAGGCCAGGGCAUUAGAUCCCCUUGGAGCUGGAGUUACAUAUGGUUGUGAGCUACGGGAUGUGGGUGCUGCGACCUGAACUCCAGUUCUCCGAAAGGGCAGCCAGUGCUCUUGACUGCUGAGCCAUCUCUCCAGCCCCUCCUUAACAGUUUUAAAGCAGAUAAAACUACUCUGUUACAAAUGAGACUGCAGAUAAACCGUGGCAGGCGGUGAUGGAAGACAAGGGCACCAAGAGAGAUUAAGAACGUUCCGGAGUCAUUUGACAUUUUUGGUUUUGGAUUCUUUUGAGGCGUGGGGUUAGGUAGCCCCAGUCUAGAGCUGUGUAGACCAGGUAAGUCUUGAACUCAUAGAGCUCUGUCUCCCCCGACCCCACCAAAGGUGCUAGGAUGAAAAGUAUGUGAGCCACCACAAUUGGGCUGUCUUGUUUUGUUUGUUUUUCGAGACAGGGCCUUACUAUGUAGCCCUGGCUGUCCUGGAACUUACUUUGUAGCCCAGGCUGGUCUCAAACUCACGGAGAUCCUCCUGCCUCUGCCUUCUGAGUGCGUGUGCCACCAUCACCUGGCUUUUUUUUUUUUUUCCAGAAUCUCUUUAGAUUAGGGUGACUUCAAACUCAACAAGUAGCAGAGGAUGACCUAGAACUCCCGAUCCUCCAGCAUCACCUCAAGCACUAGAGAUUAGAGGUGUGUAACACUAGGCCUAGCUGAUCUCCUGUCCUUGAUGUGAGCAUCGUAGGGGUUUCCUCAGCCAGUCACAACUCUUCAGCCUAAAUUCCAGUGUGUGCUUUUUUUUGGUACUUCAAUUAAAAAUAUGUCAAGCAUGAUACAUUUAGAUAAAAGAACAAAACAUACAUACGCAAGAGUAAAGUCCGUUUCCAUGGGUACAAAACUAUAUUAUAUAUACAGGAAACGGUGGAGACAAAACCGAAUAAUGUAUUGUGUAUAGUACUGUUCACAGAGCCUAAGAGGGCAGUGAAAAGGGACAGGGCUUUGAAACAGUCAUCCUGGCAGAGGCAGGCAGAUCCCUGAGUUAGAGGCCAGCCUGGUCUACAGAGGUAGUUGCAGGACAGCCAGGGCUACACAGAGAAACUGUCUUGAAAAAAAAACAAAACAAAACAAGACAAUAACAAAACCCAGUCAUUUUGUCUGUUUUAAAACUGUAUGAAGGAGCUGGAGAGACGGCUCAGGGUUUACCUCUAUCAGUAACAUUUUUAUAAAAAGAUAACCUUGGGAGUGGAGGAUGCGGCUCUGUUGAUAACGACUUGCCUAGGACACACAAAGCCCGAGGUUCAGAUCCAGCACUGUGUGAAUCAGGCAUGGGGAGCCACAGCUGCGAUCUCAGCACUUGGGAGAUGGAGGUGGAAGUUUAUCCUCAGCUACAAAGAGAAUUCGAGGUCAGUCUGAUCUACAACAAAAAACAGUGCCGUGCACUGAGUUAAUAUCAAAGUGAAAACCAAGGGGCUGCCCUGCUCCUGCGGAAGACCUCAACACCCAGGCCAUGUGGCUCGCGACUGCCUGGAACUCAGCUCCAGGGGGAUCCGAGGCUUUUAGCCUCCUCUAAGGGUACCAGUACUUGUGAGCACAUAGUCACAUGCAGCCCCACACAAACACAUGAUUAAAAGUCAAAAUAAAACACAACGAAAGAUGAGUAUACCUUUAGAAAAAAAAUAGAUAAAUAACUAAACCCCCCCAAAACCUUAGAGAAGUAGAUGGUACACAGUAGGUGCUACAUAAAGGUUUUACAAAAAAAAAAACCAACCAACCAAACAAACAAACCCAUGAAAAUGUUUUCCAGGUAUAGAUGGUGUCCUUCAAACCAGCCAUGCUAUUCACACCUGUAAUCCUAGCAUACUGGAGGCUGAAGCAGGAAGUUUACUGUGAGUACGAGGCCAGCCUGAGCUCCAUGAAAGUCUGACUUUAAAAAAUUAAAUUAAAUUAAAAAAAGAGAGAAAUACAGACUUUUCCUUUGAGCCUGUGUUUUUACAUAAAUAUCAGUCACACUUUUUAAAGCUGGUGUGGUGUGUGUGUGUG